rnacentral:tRNA from 2 species
GGUCACUUGGAUGAGCGGUUUAGUCCCUGGUCUGCAAAACCAGUUAGAGCGGUUCGACUCCGCUAGUGACCUCCA